GGGGUAUUAUUUAGCCUCUGCAAGAGAGCUAAUAAGGAUCAAUGGAACGACAAAAGCUCCUGUUAUGAAUUAUGCAGCUGAGACAUCACUUGGAGUGGUCACUAUAAGGGCCUUUAAAAUGGUGGACAGGUUCUUCCAAAACUACCUAGAGCUCAUAGACACGGAUGCAAAGCUGUUCUUCUAUUCUAAUGCAGCCAUUGAAUGGCUAGUUUUAAGAAUAGAAAUGCUCCAGAAUCUGACUUUAGUCACUGCUGCUCUUCUCCUUGUUCUACUUCCCAAGGGUGUUGUAGUUCCAGGUAUCUAUAGUCGGUUACAAUGGUCUUUUUAUCCUUCAGAGUUCUUCCGUUUGUUAAAAUGAUUUCGUUUCUUUUUUACACAGGGCUUGUGGGGCUCUCUCUUUCUUAUGCUCUGGCACUGACCGGCUCACAAGUGUUCCUGUCUCGAUGGUAUUGUAACUUAUCAAAUUAUAUUGUUUCGGUUGAAAGGAUCAAACAGUUCAUGCGCAUACCACCUGAGCCCCCUGCGAUUGUGGAGGGAAAAAGGCCACCAUCUUCAUGGCCUUCCAAGGGUAGGAUAGAGUUGCAAAAUCUGAAGGUAAGAUAGUUCUUCUAGUCCAUGUUUUAAAUGAAUAAAUGAAUAUGUUCCUUAGCAUUGAGUUUGUGUUUUAGACUUAAAUCCGAUGAUCCGUUUGAUGUGUUUCAGAUAAAAUACCGCCCCAAUGCUCCUCUAGUUCUCAAGGGAAUCACUUGCACAUUCAAGGAGGGGACUAGAGUAGGAGUUGUUGGAAGGACUGGAAGUGGAAAAACUACAUUGAUAAGCGCUUUGUUCCGACUAGUGGAGCCUGAAAGUGGGAAAAUCCUCAUAGAUGGACUUGACAUUUGUUCUAUAGGUCUGAAGGAUUUGAGGAUGAAGCUUAGCAUCAUCCCUCAAGAGGCCACUCUUUUCAAGGGUAGCAUCCGAACUAACUUGGACCCUCUAGGCCUUUACUCUGACAAUGAAAUAUGGGAGGUGAGCCUACUCAUUUUAACUUUCUAGUUCAAAGUUCAAACAAUUUUACAUACCAAUAUUCAGAAAAGAAGAGGACUUUUAGCAGUAAAUCAAUCACAUUAUUCACAUAUCUGAUUGGUUUGGUUCUUCAUUUUGAAGGCUCUAGAAAAGUGUCAGCUCAAGGCAACAAUCAGCAGUCUUCCAAACUUGCUAGACUCAUCUGGUGAGUUCACUUCAGGAAAUUAAAAAUUGAAGAUUCCUUCAAAAUUAGCAUACCCCAUGUCAUUUCCCUCUUAUAUUUUUCAAUGUCACAUAGAGAAGUUUCCAUCUCACUCUGGUUCCUUCAACAGUAAGUGAUGAAGGCGAGAAUUGGAGCGCCGGGCAACGCCAGCUCUUCUGUCUUGGAAGAGUCCUACUUAAGAGAAACAGAAUCCUUGUUCUAGAUGAAGCCACUGCAUCCAUAGACGCUGCCACAGAUGCAAUUCUACAGAGAAUUAUCAGGCAGGAAUUCUUGAACUGUACGGUGAUAACAGUAGCUCACAGAGUUCCCACAGUUAUAGAUAGUGACAUGGUCAUGGUCCUCUCUUAUGGUAUGCAAUUCCAAUCCAAGCCUAAGCCAGUUUUGGAGUAUUGGGUUUUUGGUAUUAACCCCAACUUACAUAAAAUAUCGGUUGGUUUGAUUUUGUAGGGAAGCUUGUGGAGUAUGAUGAGCCCUCAAAUCUGAUGGAAACCAACUCCUUUUUUUCAAAACUUGUAGCUGAAUACUGGUCCAGCCGCAGGAGGAACUCCUCCCAGAAUUUCAACUACUACAAAUAGUGAAGGUGCUCGAUUUGGAGGUAUGGCUGCUAAUUAUUGGUCUUAGAAUAAAUGAGUGAAGAAGGCCAUCUUUUUCAUUGCUUUGAAGAGAAAUCAGUGUAUUUGUGUAAUAAUGAAAAAUGUAGGGAAUGAGCAGGCAACAGCUGAGCUCCCUGGUGUUGAAUUGAUCAACAUAUUGAAUAGUUAUUAAGGCACAUGGGGUUUGUGGAUGACCAAACUCCAUGGGUUUUCAAGUUGGAAGUUGACUUUGAUAUAUCUAUCAUGAUUGAUAUAAAUAUUAUUCGCCUAUGUUCAUAAAUUCUCAUAACUUUAAAAUAUGUCUAUGCAUAUUAAAUACGUUGUUUCUCCUACGUGUCACGUACUUAUGGAUGUAGAAUACCGUAUAUGCUCAUUAUGGAAUAAUUCAAGCUUUAAACUUCUAAGUCAAUUGAUAAUAAUAAUAUGGUAUUAUAGGGAUUUUGACUUGUAGAGACUUCUCAUUCUCUCUGUCUCUGUCUCUUAAUGUAUGUAAACGAAAAGACAUUUAAAUAUUUAUUGUGUAAAAGAAAUACAUGUGAAUGGCUAUUGUCCUCUUUGUAACUGUGAGCUUGUCCUUGCUCUCAAAUCUGCCCCUGCAAAAAACUAGUGAAGUGCCUUAAAGCUCUCUCCAGGAAAAGUAGCUGGAUGUUAUCUCUCCCUUGUCCACCAGUAUAAGUAGGUUGAUGUUAGGUCUCUCUCAUGUCCACCAGGAUAAGUCUCCCUCUCUCUCUCUCUCUCUCUCUCUCCACCAGUAUAAGUAGCUUGAUGUUAUGUCUCUCUCAUGUCCACCAGGAUAAGUCUCCCUCUCUCUCUCUCUCUUUUAUCUUUGGCACUACAAAAAGCCCAAAACCACCUAUACCACACAAUCUUCUUAGCCAAAUGCUUGUCUCUCAGUUUCAGCUAUAUCAAAGAAAGCAAAAGAAAUCAAUCAAGUAACAUGCAUUUGGAUAUAGUGGGCAUGUUUGGAAUUAUUUGAAUUUAAAGUGAAAUAAAAGAGUGUUUAUAUUUGCAUCCAUUAAAUAUUUCUACGCAUCUACUUGAAUUAAGAUUUUUUUAAGACAAAAAUGACCUUUAUGAAAAUGAUCCUAAAAACCUCUUAAAAGUUAGUACUAUUUAGAACUAUACUUUUAGACAUUUUUAAAGACGUUCAAAGCUAUACGUAAGUAUAUGAUCCUGAAAAGUGUUUUUCAAAACAAAAAUAAAAAUAAAAGAAGCCAAUCUUUCCAAAAGAUAUGACCAAAGUCUAAGAGAAAAUCAAGGAAUCUUUUUGACUAAAUCAGAUAAUGAAUGGACAUCAAUUAAGCCAAAAGAAUUUUGGUGGAUACGAUGAAAGGAGGUUGAAUGAACUUGAUAGAUCGAUGAAAUGAUUCAACAAAAAUAAUCAUGAUGUUUUCAAAAAAUAUGUCACACCUCAAGACAAUUUUGAAGUAAUGAAUAUGUUAUUAAAAAUUCUAUAUUGAUGUCCAAAGACAUCUCAUUUUCUCCCUGCAUAUAUUUCAAAAAUACCAUGCAUUAUAAAUCAAUGAAGAAAUUAGGAGAGUUUAUUGUUAGACUUGCAUUUAAACAAAGAAUGUGUUCAACGACAAUGGGACAUGUGGGAAAUGUUGGAGUGAACCAGAAAAGUUUGGGUAGAAUCGGAUCCAAGUAUUGGCUAGAUAAGCGUCCUUUAAUAAGAUUAGUAGUUAUGAAUCCUAUAGACUAUGGUCAUGGGGUAGUGAGAGGAGAGCCCCAAUUGGUAGAAAAACCCACAACCCCUUAGGAUUAUCUUGCAUUUAGAAGAAUGUCUCUUAUGCCUAAAAAAAAAUUAUUUAAUUUCUUCAAGUAGCAUUAUAUUUUCUAAAAAUUAUUUAAGAAAAUAAAAUUAUUGAAUUAUAAAGUUUGAAUCAGUUUUAUUGCACUUCGUUCGAGAGUUUCACCAUUGUAACAUUUUUCGCUUCUUUUGAUUAGUAAAUUUUUGAGUGUUAGUGCAUUCCUCCGUAAACAUAAAGAUCACAUUGAUAAUUGAAUCACGAUACAAAUCUUGUCUUUUUUUUUUUUCACUCAUUUGUGCUUGGUUUGAUUAACAAUAACUCUUGAUAAUGAAAUUUUUUAAAUUUACAAAGAUUUAUAGAUACAACUCUUGUUCAUUUCAACUUGAUAUACUUAUAUUUUGAAAAAACAAAGAAAUUUAUAAUAAGGAAAAACUAUUUUUAUUUUAUUUUAUUUGGAGAUCAUAAACAAAAUUUGUUCCUAAAAAUAAUUAAAAAUUAUUUUUAAUAAUUGUUUUUAAAAUCUUUUUUUUUCUUUUAUAAUUCUCACACCCUUAUACUUUGGUGCUACAAAUAGUUUUAUUCAAUUAAAAUAAAAAAAUAAAAAAUAAUUUUUUUAAUAAAAAAAUAAAUAAAUAUAGUUCUCAAACUAAAACUAUUGGCAAUGGAAAAAUAACCACUUAUACUUCUUUCUACCUUUUCUACUAAUUAGAAAAAAAAAAAAAAGCAUAUUCUAACAUAUCAAUAAUAUUUAAAAUUUUACUUAUAGGUUGUAUUUAGUUAAUAAGAUGAGAUAUGAUAGAAUAUCAUAUUUUAUUAAAUAAGAAAUGUAUAUUAUAAGAUAUCGUUUUCAAUAAGAUAUGAUAUCCUUGAAUAUUAUAUCAAAUGCACAUGAUAUCUUAAGAUAGUACAUGCAAUAAGAUAUAUUACAUGGUUAUGCUUAGUUUGUAAAAUGAGAAUAUAUAUAUAUAUAUAUAUUAUUUUUCAAUGUUUGAUAUUUGUUUAAAAUAAAAAUUAUAUUUCAUUCUAAUAUUUUUUAUUAAAAAAUGAAAUUUCUUACAUUUAACAACAUUUAUAAUUAAAAUAUUUAAAAUUUAUAAAUAAAUUUUUCAUAUUAUAUUAUUCAAUAUAUAAAAAUAAUUUAUAUAUAUAUAUAUAUAUAUAUAUGUAAAAUAAUGCAUGUAUUAUUAUUUUUUUAUAAUUUAUUUUAUAAAUCUUUUUUAAUAAAAAAAUUUAAAAUUUUAAUCAAAAUUUUUAAUUUUGUAAAAUAAGUAAUAUAAAAAAAUUUUAAAAAUUAUUACAAAAAAUUAUAAUAUAUAUUAUAUUUUAACUGAUAAAUAUAGCCAAUAAUAUAUUCUACCAAUCAUGCUAUAAAACAAAAACAAAAAAACAUGAAUCACAUGAAUAAUAUUUGUCCUCAAGUGUUCUCUGGUGUCCUUGCCUUGUCAGCCUUUAUUUUCUGGAGGAAAGAGGUUGCUAGAAAAGGAGAAUAGGUCACUGCCACCACUUUUAUAGAAGUUUUAAAUUUAGCUACUUAUUUUUCUCAUCAUAUCAACAAUGGCUUCUUGGGACAGCUCAUUGGGUAACAACCAUUUUCCCUCCUUUGUUUCAAUGGUCACCCACCCUUAAUGUGUAGGCUUGAUUAGUAUACCUGGACCUUGAAAAUUAGCCUUCUUUCAUUACAAGUUGAGACUUUUUGUUGGUGUUUGGUGGAAGUAUAUGUCCAGUGUGUGUUAAUGUACAAUGGACAAAAGUAAUGGAAUAUCAUUGAUGGACUUUUCCUUUUUGUUUGUAAAUUUUUCCAUUUGCCUUUAGAUUUAUGGGUUGCAUUUAUGUAAUAUGCUUUAUUGUUCUGAUUUUGUCUAUGGAUGUACAGGUGGAUUCUCCUGGAAUUCUGGGGAAGGGCUUGAUAUGGGUUUCUUUUGUGUUCAGACAACUAUAUUAGAUGUCUUGAAUCUGCUAUUUCUUUCUGUUUUCUGUGUGAUUUUGGUUAUGGGUUCUGUUAGAAAAAAUGUGAUUUUUGAGCACAGCAGGAGGGACUGGGUCUCUGGGGGUGUUUCAAUCUGCUGUGCUGUUGUUAGCAUUGGAUAUCUCAGUGCUGGUUUGUGGGAUUUGUUUGUGAAAAAUGAAGGGUCUGGGCAUUUGAGUUGGUGGGCUUACUUUGUUAGAGGGCUGGUUUGGAUCUCUCUUGCAGCUUCACUGCUUAUUCAAAGACCCAAGUGUAUCAGAAUUCUUAGUUCUCUCUGGUGGUUGGCCUUCUUCCUAUUGGGUUCAGCUCUAAAUAUCGAAAUUCUAGUGAAAACUCACAACAUUCAAGUCUUUGACAUGGUGCCAUGGCUUGUGAGCUUCUUGCUUCUCUUUUGUGCAUUCAGGAACAUUUGUCACCAUGAUUCUCCAGAUACCCCAGAUAGGAGUGUUUCCGAACCUCUACUAGGGAAAAAGCCUGAGAAAAGCUCAGUAGAAUUAGGCAAGAGUAGCUUCAUUAGUAAAUUGACAUUUUCUUGGAUUAAUCCUUUACUUUGCUUGGGUUACUCGAAACCUUUAGUUCUAGAAGACAUUCCUUCUCUGGUAUCAGAGGAUGGAGCUGAAUUAGCCUACCAAAAAUUUGCUCAUGCAUGGGAACAGCUUCAAAAGGAGAAAACCCCGAAUAAUAGCUGUAACUUGGUUCUACAAGCAUUAGCCCGGGUCUACUGGAAAGAAACCCUUUCUGCAGGGAUUUUUGCUUUGUUUAAGACAAUUUCUGUAGUGGUUUCUCCUCUGUUGCUCUAUGCUUUUGUAAAAUACUCAAAUCAUAGUGGGGAAAAUUGGCAUGAAGGCGUGUUCUUAGUGGGGUGUCUAGUCCUUAACAAGCUGGUUGAAUCCUUGUCUCAAAGGCAUUGGUUCCUUAAUUCUAGGAGGUCUGGGAUGAGGAUGAGGUCAUCUUUAAUGGUGGCUGUAUACCAAAAGCAGCUCAAGCUUUCAAGUUUGGGAAGGGGAAGGCAUUCAACUGGGGAGAUUGUGAAUUAUAUUGCUAUCGAUGCUUAUCGAAUGGGCGAAUUCCCUUGGUGGUUCCACACAAUGUGGAGUUUCAUCUUGCAACUUUUUCUGUCCAUUGGAGUCCUUUUUGGGAUUGUGGGUCUUGGUGCUCUUACAGGUUUAGUCCCUCUUCUCAUUUGUGGACUUCUUAAUGUGCCAUUUGCUAAGAUAAUACAGAGGUGUCAAUUCCAAUUUAUGAUGGCCCAAGACCAGCGACUCAGGUCUACUUCAGAGAUCCUUAACAGUAUGAAAGUCAUCAAGUUACAGUCAUGGGAAGAGAAAUUCAAAAACUUGAUUGAAUCCCUGCGAGACAUCGAAUUCAAAUGGUUGGCUGAAGCACAUUAUAAGAAGUGUUAUUGCACUGUACUGUAUUGGUUGUCCCCAAGCAUCAUCCCUUCGGUUAUCUUCCUGGGGUGUGUGGUUUUCAGGAGUGCCCCACUAGAUGCCAGCACAAUAUUCACCGUUCUUGCAGCAUUGCGGUGCAUGUCAGAACCUGUGAGAACCAUACCUGAAGCUCUAUCUGCUUUGAUCCAAAUCAAGGUCUCUUUUGAUAGGCUCAAUGCAUUCCUGCUAGAUGAUGAGGUCAAAAGUGAAGAAAUCAGGAAAGUUGUAGUACCAAAUUCACAUUACAGUGUUAUAGUGAAUGGUUGUGGUUUCAGUUGGGACCCGAAAUCGACCAUCCUAACACUCAGAGAUGUAAAUAUGGAAGUAAAAUGGGGGCAGAAGGUUGCGGUUUGUGGGCCAGUUGGAGCAGGGAAAUCGUCACUCUUAUAUGCUAUACUUGGAGAGAUACCAAAAGUUUCAGGAACCGUGAGUUGCAAAGCCCUUUAGUAUUAUUGAUCAUCUACAAAUUUGUUUCACUAAAUUUUUUCCUUCUGUUGGUUGUCAACAGGUUGAUGUAUUUGGUUCAAUCGCCUAUGUUUCUCAAACUUCUUGGAUCCAAAGUGGGACAAUUCGCGACAACAUUCUUUAUGGAAGGCCAAUGGAUAAAACCAAGUAUGAGAAAGCCAUAAAAGCAUGUGCCUUAGAUAAGGAUAUAAAUAGUUUUGACCAUGGCGAUUUAACAGAAAUUGGUCAGAGAGGGCUUAAUAUGAGUGGAGGACAGAAACAGAGGAUUCAACUUGCUCGAGCUGUCUACAAUGAUGCCAAUAUCUACCUCCUGGAUGACCCUUUUAGUGCAGUAGAUGCACAUACAGCUGCAGUUCUUUUCAAUGUAAGAUUGAAUAUGUAAACAUGCAUAUAUACGAAUAUGGAGAAAACUCUGAUUGAAUCUGAAUUAUGCCAUUGCAGGAUUGCAUCAUGUCUGCUCUAGCUCAAAAGACUGUUAUUCUUGUGACUCAUCAAGUGGAAUUUCUAUCUGCAGUUGAUAAAAUUCUGGUAACAAAGCAUAGUUCAAAAUUUGAUGAAUCUUUCUUCAUGCAUACAUGUGUUACUGAUUAUGGCAACAAAAAUUAUUGGAUUUUUGCACUUCUAAGGUAAUGGAAGGUGGACAAAUAACUCAGUCAGGAAGCUAUGAGGAGCUUUUUGCAGCAGGGACGGCAUUUGAACAGCUUGUAAAUGCUCAUAAGAAUGCAACAACAGUUAUGAAUCUUUCAAAUAAAGAAAUCCAAGAAGAACCUCACAAGUUGGAUCAGAGCCCUACCAAAGAAAGCGGUGAAGGGGAGAUUUCCAUGAAGGGUCUACAAGGAGUGCAGCUUACCGAAGAAGAAGAGAGAGAGAUUGGUGAUGUUGGGUGGAAGCCUUUCUUGGAUUAUCUCCUUGUCUCAAAGGGAUCAUUCCUUCUGUUUUUAUGUAUAAUAACCAAGUCUGGUUUUAUUGCCCUUCAGGCUGCUUCAACUUAUUGGCUAGCACUAGCCAUUGAAAUGCCAAAAAUCAGCAAUGGCAUGCUAAUUGGAGUUUAUGCUGGACUGUCAACACUAAGUACUGGCUUUAUAUAUCUGAGGUCUUUCUUUGGAGCCCGUCUAGGAUUAAAAGCUUCUAAGGCCUUCUUUGCAGGUUUUACCAACUCCAUCUUCAAAGCUCCAAUGCUCUUUUUUGACUCUACCCCAGUUGGGCGCAUUCUGACUCGAGUAAGAUUGUCUUCUUUCUUUCAGUAUAAUCUUAGUAAUUCGUACCAUCAGACUGAAUCACUUUUCAUGAACAUCUACUAAUGUUCCUUUCUCUGCAGGCUUCCUCAGAUUUGAGCGUUUUGGAUUUCGAUAUACCUUUCUCCAUUAUCUUUGUAGUAGCAUCUGGUCUUGAGCUUCUAUCGAUCAUUGGAGUUACAGCCUCAAUCACUUGGCCAGUUCUCAUUGUGGCCAUUUUUGCUAUUGUAGCUGUAUAUUAUGUUCAGGUAGAUAAUGGGGUUCUACUUUACAUUCUUUGAUCUCUCACUUAUUCUUUGCUACUAGACAUAAAAAUCUGAUAACCAUCCUGUUUUCAUUCUGACUAAAAGGGGUAUUAUUUAGCCUCUGCAAGAGAGCUAAUAAGGAUCAAUGGAACAACAAAAGCCCCCGUUAUGAGUUAUGCAGCUGAGACAUCACUUGGAGUGGUCACUAUAAGGGCUUUUAACAUGGUGGACAGGUUCUUCCAAAACUACCUAGAGCUCAUAGAGACGGACGCAAAGCUGUUCUUCUAUUCUAAUGCAGCCAUUGAAUGGCUAGUUUUAAGAAUAGAAAUCCUCCAGAAUCUGACUCUAGUCACUGCUGCUCUUCUUCUUGUUCUACUUCCGAAGGGAUAUGUAGCUCC
rnacentral:lncRNA from 1 species